UCCUACGGGAGGCAGCAGUGAGGAAUAUUGGUCAAUGGGCGGGAGCCUGAACCAGCCAAGUCGCGUGAGGGAAGACGGUCCUAUGGAUUGUAAACCUCUUUAGGCGGGGAGCAAUGCCGGGCACGCGUGCCCGGAGGGAGAGUACCCGCAGAAUAAGCAUCGGCUAACCCCGUGCCAGCAGCCGCGGUAAUACGGAGGAUGCGAGCGUUAUCCGGAUUUAUUGGGUUUAAAGGGUGCGUAGGCGGAUUUUUAAGUCAGCGGUAAAAUGUCCGGGCUCAACCUGGGCCUGCCGUUGAAACUGGGGG
rnacentral:rRNA from 1 species